rnacentral:tRNA from 1 species
GGAUGUAUGGCGAAAUUGGUAAACGCUACGCUCUAUAAAGGCGAAGAGGUUGACAACUCUUUCCGGUUCGAGUCCGGAUACAUCCA